AAAGUUUGUUAUUGGUACAAUGUUUAUACAUAUAAGAGUAUGUAUGUAUUAUAAAUCGUGGCUGCAUUUUUCUGUUUCACGCACGAUGCGCAUGAUGCAUCAUUUUAUCUUUGUUAUUAACCAAAACAAGUUGUCAAUCAAGAAUAAAAUGGUAUAUACAUUGUGCGCAUCAUGAAACAAAACGUAACCCGUAUGUGUGAUAAGUCGCGUUCGAUUGAUGAAACAGAUCCCGAGGGAGUUCCGUUUUUAAUUUAUUUAGAAUCGUGAUUCGAGGCAGUUCGAAAUAAUUUGCAAUUUGCUAUUCGUAUUAGAUUUGCGAAUAAUACAAAUUGACAUAUUCGAGUUUGCAUUCAUCUAUUCUUAUCAAUUCGUUAACAAAGCGGUUUUUCUUUUUACGAAUCAAAGGAUGCAAAUCAUCAUGAAUCACGUAUAAUCUGGUACAUGAAUUUGAAACAGAAAACAAAACACAGUCGGACACGAAUCAUCGAAUCAAUCGAUUUGAAGACAGGCUCAAAUAGCAAAUCCAACCUAUCUAAGUAUGCAAAAGUAAUUGAUUGACUGGGUUUUACUGCCGGUCAUAAAUCUAGGGGUUCCAAAGUUUACUCUUCUGAUUACCGCCGAAACUAGAAUCUGCAUGAAUUGAAUGUGAAUCGCGCAUCAAUAAGCCACGUGCUCAUAUUAUCAUUUGCCGAUGUUGCGCUUAUCUUUUCACAAGGCAAACAAAGGCAAGGCUCUAUUUUUACAGUUAAACGAGGUGGCGUAUUGUCCAAUAAACCCUGUCCGCAAUCCAGAGCUCGGAUGCUGGCUAGUCCACGCGAGCUUGCAUCACCAAAACAGUAUUGCGCAGAUCACCAAAACUGCCAUCGUGUCUUUGCUGUUGUGCCAACUCCAUCGAUGGUUUACGAACGA